AUUGAACGCUGGCGGCAGGCCUAACACAUGCAAGUCGAGCGAGCGGCGGACGGGUGAGUAAUGCCUGGGAAUUGCCCAGUCGAGGGGGAUAAGAGUUGGAAACGACUGCUAAUACCGCAUACGACUGUCUUGCUCAGGGGGGGUUAGUUAGUUGGUGAGGUAAUGGCUCACCAAGGCGACGAUCCCUAGCUGGCCUGAGAGGAUGAUCGGCAACACUGGGACUGAGACACGGUCCAGACUCCUACGGGAGGCAGCAGUGGGGAAUAUUGCACAAUGGGCGAAACCCUGAUGCAGCCAUGCCGCGUGUGUGAAGAAGGCCUUCGGGUUGUAAAGCACUUUCAGCGAGGAGGCGUUACUCGAAGAAGAAGCACCGGCUAACUCCGUGCCAGCAGCCGCGGUAAUAC
rnacentral:rRNA from 1 species